CCUUCCUAUACUUCUGUGCCCAACGUGGAAGAGGAAUGAAGCUGAACUAGAGGUGUUUUCUGCUAAUACCACACCAAUUUCAACACAGAAGAAAGAGAAAGGAGAGACCAUCACCAAAAGACUCUUUGAAGCCCAAGACCCUGUGUUUUGGAGAGAAUGACCAAGCCUUUGGAAACUGUUUUCCUUAAAGGCACUGUUCCUCCUCUUUCCCUUGUCCCGCUCCACCCACCUCAGCCCAAGGACCAUUUUCCAGAC
rnacentral:lncRNA from 1 species